GUUCAGUGUUCAGUAUUUCUCUACCUUAAACGUGGCUCUAGAGGGAUUCUUAAUGCUGGUAGAGAAGCAAGGAUUAAACUGUAUCAGCAGAUUGGUGUACAACGUGAUGCAAAAGGGAUAGAAAGUGAAAUGAUAGAGAAUGGAUUGUUAUCACUUACCAGUGACUGAAAUUUUCUCUUCUACAUGUGAAAAAAUCACAAUACUAGAUAGUGGACGCCGUUACAUCAACGGGAAGUUGUUUAUGUCGGAUUUGUUCUUAAAAAAAAAUGAAGGAAUUUUGGUUGGAUGGAACAUCUACUCUUUUUAAG
rnacentral:misc_RNA from 1 species